CCUUCUCAAUUUUCUAUCCUUUUCUACUCCGUGUCUUCCCUUGAACCUCGACUUUUGAUUUUUUGAGCCUGAUUUUCCCUCCUACUACUCCUUGCCUUGACAAUAUUGAAUGCUUGAUCUUCUAAACCUUGAAAACUUGCACAGAACAUCUUGCUAAUUUUUUAAUGUUAUUUAGAUCCACGCAGCAUAUUUAUCCUUCUCAUUAUUGACCACUCUCUUCCAUCACUCUCAUCUGUCAAUUUUUUCGCAGCUUCACUCCCGUAUUACCCAUCUCCAUAUCACCUUCUGUUCGCUAAAUAGCCAUAGCUUCCACUCCCUUAAUCCUCCCUUACUCCCCACCUAAUCAAGUGCAUCAUGGAUACUUAUAGACACACACACAUAUAAAGGAGCUAAUUUAUAUAACCCUUAAAGUGUCCAACUUCUACCUAAUACUCAUUCUCUCCAUGGAAUAUGAAUUUUUAACAAAACUCAGGCUCUAAUAUAGUUAGGUUAUAACAUCACAAACUUCAGAAUUGAGCACGUUACAACAUCUCAUGUCCAAAGCUAGCGAAAAAUCUAUCCAAUUUGAAUAAAGUCUUCCCACAAACUAAUUUAUUUCCUUUCCUCAAAUCAAUCACAAACAUAACAUAGUAUGUAAUUAAAGCUGAGACUCAAAAAUUUCUCGCAAAUAAUAAACCUCUAUCCAAUUGUCAACUAACUUAAACAAAAUAAAAUCUCAUCUCACAUGGAGAUCACACCCAAGUAAUUGCCUAUAAUUGAUGCGUACUCAAAACUAACCUUGUUACUCUACCAUAGAUGGCCUAAAAUAACCGGUACACUCAUCCUAAUUAUGACUGUUGCAAGAAAAGAAUGGAAAGGGAGAACUUUCUUGGUUGGACUAAAAUGGCCCAGGGAUCAUAUCUAAUGCAAGAUGUGCAUAACCAAACUAACUGGAUAUUGGUAAACUGGAAAGCCAACUCUAACGCCUCUUAGCCCUACAUUCAUACUCCUCAGCCCCUCCAAUGAUCCUUUCAUCAGGAUCCAUUAAAACAAAACCUAGCCUUUCUCUCAAAGUCCAUGUGCCUCUAAUGGUGCAACUGGUAUUUUUAAGCUUGGCUCGUGCAUUCAAAUCCAAAGAAAAAAGUCAAAAAAGUAUGAAAACGAGUGAAAAGAUCCAAGUUAAAGAGAGAUUGAUGGGCUUUGCAUGCCUCCAAAAAUCAAUAUCAGGCGAAUGAAAUGAUGAGUGAAUAAUAAAGCAAGGUGAUGAGGUGCUCAAUGUUACAAUAUAAGGUUCUCAAUUGCUUAAAGAAUUAUCCCAAAAACUUUAGCUAAUACUAAAACGGCAAAAUCUAUAAUUUAUCCCUUAUAUUCUUAACAUAACACAAAGCAGAGGACGCAUCAAACUAGGAAAACACAUGCUGCACAAAAAGAGAAAAUGAAAAGGUAAUUCCUAGCUAUUACAGUACAAGAACAUGAACUUCAAGCAAAGCCAUCCAUUUUAAAUUUCCUGGAUUCACUUGAUCUUAUUGACUAAUCUUGAAGAGGUGAAGGAAUAGUAACUCAUAGCUGAAAACGCAAAAAACCGAAGCGAUCUUGAGUUAAAAGAAGUGAACCUUUCGAAAGUGAAGAAAAGAAUUUAACAUUAGAACAGGUGAAAUAAUUUUUUUUGCAGUCUCCUUGUCGAGUCCAUAACAAUCUAGCCCUCCAUCUCCAAGCCACCUCCUCCAUUAACAGCCAAUUUGCGAGAUUCAAUUUGGCAAGCUACUUCCUACCUACACCUUUUAAUUUGCUUCUGACUCCGCUAUUUGGAGACCAAAUCCCUCUUCUUGCCUCUAGAAAAACUGUUCGAAGCCUAACAAGCUCAUGCCAACAUUUGUGCAGCUUUAGAUUGUUAUUCCUAACCAAUUCAAAGGCAACCCUCUUCAACGGCGGAACUUGAGAAGCCAAACAGGAUGUAGCCAUGGUUCCUACCACUGCUCCGUAUGUAUCACCUCCUUCUCUCCUGCUCCAAUCGGGGGCAAUCUCAAACCUUCGCUCACAGUAUUACCCAACUGGAGACUAUCUUCUGUAACUACCAGGAGUAGAAGAUGAUUGGAAGGAGAAAAAAGCAUACUUUACACCAGGCAGGCGUUGAUUCAUUUCCUGUUUGGGUUAGAUCUUCACAUGUGACGAAUGCCGAGGAGAACUGCCAAAAGAGAAUCAAGAGUAAUCAAUACCAGCACCGGGCAAACAAGACGUAUUCUUUUCUUUCCUCCACACACAGUUUACACCAGGAAAACAACAAAGAAAAUUCUCGACCAAUGGCCUGCCUUGGUCCCUUCAGGAAUCAAAAGUCUUCAACUUUCAACUUUAUACUGACGGGAAAAACCGAAUAUUUUAUUACGAAAAUGAAAGGCCAACGGUUUUGAAGGAAAGCCGUUGAGAAUCCAUCUGAACCCGAGGCUUUAUCACUUGCCUAGAGAAAAAGUCUCAUAGAUUAUCUCCUUUGUGAAGACUCUUUAAUCCAUUAUUGAUGCCAGCCAUCCCGUUAGAACGCAGAAAUUUUUGAACGCAUCUGUAAGCUUGGCUGGAAUCUACAAACACAGUCAGAGUUGAAUUUAAUAAAUUUCAGGAAAAAGCCCUACUAGCUGAAAAUGCAAAGCUGACUGAGAAGAACAAUGCUCAAUCAUGGCAAGCAACUAACGAGCAAAGAAAGAUAAUGGUACCGAAUGAAGACAGUAAUCCGAGUUCAGAUGUAGAAACCGAACUGUUUAUCGGACCACCAACAAGGAGACCGAGAUGCAUCUUACCUCCGAAAAACUGACUGAUGACAUAGAUAAUUUAAGUC